GGUAGGGCUAUGUGGGCUCAUUGUGUACAGUUCAAGAGAUGACGUGGGGUCAUAGACCUCAACAGAUCUUAGAACUCUGGUAACCAGGCACCCACAGCCCCCCAUCCAGCUCACUUGAUUGGAGACAGUCAACAGGCAAAGAUGUUUUGUUGUUGUUUCCCAACUUUUGGAGGAUCUGGGCUCAAAAAAUCCCAGAAAGAGAAUCUUUUUGGUAGUUGGCGAUGUUGGCUCAGCCUUAAUUCUUGACGCCUCUGGGCAUCUGGCAGGAGGCAGUGAAAGGUAACACGGGGCAGCCCAGGAGAGGCUAGUGCAGGCCAGGGCACAGCUGUGAUCCCACCUGAUCAGCCCCACACCCCUUGCCCCUCUUUGUGUGUGUGUGUGUGUGUGUGUGCAUGUGUCUGUGAGGAGGGAAGAAGGCAGGACAUAAGGGGCGGGUCAUUCCUGAGCAGGAGCUGGUUGUUAGGUGUCGGAAACCUAACACCUAGGUCAUGUUCAUACCUCAGGCCAUGCCUGGAAGCAUGAGAAUGUGAGCUCCUCUACUCAUAUUGUUACCGAGCACUAGAGGAUUCAUCUCCUUCCCUCCCUGACCAGAGUUCUUUGCAGGGAUGCCCCUCUGUGCCUGAACUGAGGAACAGAUAUUCUCUUGGCGAUUGGCCCCAGUGGCAGUGUGCAGGCAGCCCCUGAUUCCUUCUGGCCCAGUUCCCAGGCAGUCUUUGCAGAACUCCACUCAAGAGGUUGUCGAGUAGCUGCCCAAUGGUUUCAAAUCCACCAACUCACUAGACAAGGGGCAGGUACAUGAGGCCAUCCACACUUUCCAGUGCUGCUCUGAGAUGAGAGCAGGAGCAGAGGGUCUCCACACUCAGGAGCUUGAGAUGACGGGGUUGGACUAGAACUAGGGAGAGACCAGACUCGGGCUGUCCCUUUUUUAAGCUAAAGGGGAUGUACAUGAAUGUCACCUUGCCUGGUUAGGAGAUGAGCUGCCGUGACCCUCUUACCCUUGUCCGGUGUGAGCUUCUGGAGGCCACUGAGGCAGAGCCAGAUGCGUCAGCUGCAGAGCUCCAGCCAGCGGCAGAAGAAGAGUAGUGGGCAGUGGUGGAGGUAGAGCUGGCUCCAGCUCUGUUGACACCACCCCCUCUAGCACUGGAGCCAGUGUCCCCUCCACCAGCAGUGUUGGAGGUGGAGCAAGGGCCAACAUGGGCUCCAGCAGGAGUGGGAGCUGCUUAGCUGGAGUCACCUGGACCAUCAUUUCUAGUGCGAAGUCCAUCUCCACCUGUGGCUCUUAAGGAGCGUGAGAAGCUUAAUCUCACGGCCUUCCUUCCUAAGCUGGUGGUGGAGCAGUUGACCAUGAUGGAUGCGGAGCUCUUCCAGAAGGUGGUGCCCUCUCCUUGCCUGGGCUCCACCUGGGGCAAGAGGAACAAGCCGGGCAAUGAGCACCAGACACCCAACAUCCAGGCCACCGUCGACCAAGUCAGAAGGGUGGCCAGCUUCGUCAUCACGCCCUGCCUCGGGGACCCGAGCAUGACAGCCCAGGACAGGGUGAGGGUGGUGGAGCGCUGGAUCCAGGUGGCCCAGGUGUGCUGUGGGAGGCCCAGUGGAGCCCCUCUCUGAAGCCUUGGGAACUGCCUCUCCACCUUUAUCAGCUCCCAGGAUUGCAGUAUGUGGUCUAAGCCCCUGCACAGUCCCUAGGCCCUUCCUGCCAGGGGCCCGCUGACUUUAACUCCAGGUCCCAGUGAGAGGAUGCUCACUUCCUACCUGGCUCCUUCCCUGGGUUGAGCUAAAAUCCUGCUCCCUGUGAGUGUUACUCUUUGGGUCCUAAAUGUGCCCUUCUGCGACUCCCUGAGCAUCUGUCUCAUCCAGGAGGGGAGAUUUAAAUAGAAGGGUACUGAAGCUAGAGCAAGCUGGGCUACAGUGCCCCACCUCACAGCUCAUUCUCUUCCCUUCCCCAGGAGUGCAAGAUCCUGAAGAACUUCUCCUCGCCCUGCACUGUAAUCUCUGCUCUGCAGAAAACCUCCACAAGCCACCUGAAGAACACACGGGGGAAGUUUCCCGGGGAAUGGGAUCAACCUUGAGAAGAGGACUGAGGAGCAGCAGUGGCACUCGCUGCAGGGGAGAAGAAAGAGGUGGAAAUCAGAGACCUUCUGGGCAGAACAGUCCUUGGCUCCACCCGCUGUAUCUUACAUUGAAUGGAAGAGUUUGAUACCAGAGAAGUGGGAGACCCAUCCAAUUGGCGGGAAUACCGAGUCAUGAGUAAGAUCUUGCUGCUCCAGGAGGCUGCAAAGAAUUACAACCUAGAGCCCGAGGGAGCGAUUUGGGGCCUCGUUCCAGGACAUGGAGUUGCUCAACGAGAAUGAGAGCUACAACCUGUCCUGCCAGCCAGAUCCCUAGACCUAGUUGGCCUGCAGAAUAUGCAAGGCCAAGAAGAACCGGCCAUCAUCAAGGUCAGGGCCCCCAGGCCCCAACCCCAAACCCCGUACCAGUGGCCGAUCACAGCGCCAUCCUCAGCAGCGGGGACACAGCUGGGAUGCUUGCGAUGCACAGGGCCAGCUCCUCCCACUUGAUGGGAAGGGGAGCAUUGUAAGCUGAUUCCUGGGGUCCCCUGAAGCCCAAGAGAGAAGGGACGACCCCAUCCCAGCUCCCUGACAUCUCUACCUCAGCACCUACUCACCCAUUGGGGAGGGUCAGUGGUUAUUUGUUGUAAAUAAUAAAUGACAUAUUUGAA